GAAAGUCUUUUGACACCUCUAAAAAUGGUGUAGAAUAAGGGGUGGGCAAGUCUGGUGUCAGCCGCCGCGGUAAUACCAGCACCCCGAGUGGUCGGGACGAUUAUUGGGCCUAAAGCAUCCGUAGCCGGUUUUACAAGUCCUCCGUUAAAUCCAACUGCUUAACAGAUGGGCCGCGGAGGAUACUAUAAGACUAGGAGGCAGGAGAGGCAAGCGGUACUCAGUGGGUAGGGGUAAAAUCCGUUGAUCCAUUGAAGACCACCAGUGGCGAAGGCGGCUUGCCAGAAUGCGCUCGACGGUGAGGGAUGAAAGCUGGGGGAGCAAACCGGAUUAGAUACCCGGGUAGUCCCAGCUGUAAACGAUGCAGACUCGGUGAUGGACUAGCUUCAUGCUAGUCCAGUGCCGCAGGGAAGCCGUUAAGUCUGCCGCCUGGGUAGUACGGUCGCAAGACUGAAACUUAA
rnacentral:rRNA from 1 species